AUUAUCAGGUGCAGCAGCGGGUGGAAUGAAUGGUAUUUAUACUGGUUACAGAGAGAUUAAAGGAGCUACAGACAUGUCAACCGCUGUAAAGAGAACACAGAUGUUAAAUUUUAUAGGUAAAAGAGGAGCUGCAUCGGCACAGUCAGUGGGAGUAAUAGCUUUGUUGUACAGUUUAUUUGGCGUGGGAUUACAGUGGCUAAGUAUUAACAUUAAGGUGUUCUCUAUUUCUAGCUUUGUUGUACAGUUUAUUUGGCGUGGGAUUACAGUGGCUAUGUAUUAAGAUUAUGGUGUUCUCUAUUUCUAGCUUUGUUGUACAGUUUAUUUGGCGUGGGAUUACAGUUAGCUCGGGGUGAAGAUGAUGAAUACAAUACUAUUACAGCAGCAACUGCCACAGGUCUUCUAUACAAAUCUGCAGGUGGACUCCGGAAGUCAUUGAUAGGAGGUGGAGUUGGACUUGGUAUAGCUGCAGCUUAUGUUUUAUUUAUGAAAUCAGACACUUUUAAAUCAUACAUGACCAGAAAUAGAUAGAACUGUCAGCAUAAAUGAUUGGGUGUAUGUGUAUGGUGUCCUUUAUACAUGAGUGUAUGUAUGUUUAUGGUGAAGUUUAUACAUGUGUGUAUGUAUGUUUAUGUGUGGUGUGUACAUAUGUUUGUAUGUAUUAUUUUAAUGUGUGAAUAAACGCAAGUGGUGUGCGUAAAUUAGAUUGUGUGUGUAUGAUUGAUAUGAGAUAUAUGAUGAAUUUUUAAAAAGUUUAUAAUUUUAAAAGCUGUACUUGUUUUCAGGAAUUUUGAAUUAAUUCUUUAUUGUCAAAUAAGUAAAGGAUGAUACUUGUUAAAGAAUAACGUGAACUGUUGUCUAUCUCAGUACUGUUUAAAACUCAAAGGCAGAGGUUUAUCAGUACUUUUGAGUGCUGUUAAAAUUUGUUUUUAAAAGAAAAUAUGAUUAAAGUUUUACCUCCUCUUAAAUUAGAUUUUCUUUCAUAUUAUAGGAUUAAACACAUUUUUUCUAGAGGUUAUUGAUGUGUAAACCGGGGCGAUUAACUCACAAACUGAAUAAAAGUCCGAAGGACUUUUAUGUUAAGUUUGUGAGUAAGAGCCCCGGUUUACACAUCAAUAACCUCUAGAAAAAAUGUGUUUAAUCCUUAUAAUUCUUCAGUCAAACAUUCGCGAUUUUUAGUUAGGAUUUUUUGUUUGAUGGCUACUACCAUCAAAUGCACAUGUCGUAACUAAGGAUUUAGCCGCCAUAUUGAAUUUCUAAAAUCCGUAAAUAUUCGAUAAAUGCAACAGAAUCUAAAAUGAAAUAGCACCUACCUCAAAAACUGCAUUUUAAUGAGAUAUUAUCCGAAUUUGAAGCGUACAAGUAACGAAAUAAUCUUUCGCUUGAAAGUUUUCAUUUGUAUGACGUCGUGUUUUGCCAUGACGUAAAUGCGCUAAAUCAUUCAUGAAAUUUCGCGGAAUUUUUCAUGAAUUUUAAUUUUAUGCAUUUUCAAAGCUUUAAUGCAAUAUUUUUUUGGUUACAUAUGCAUUAAAAUAGAAAAAAAAACUUAUGUUUUUGUUUUUCAAUCUCACUUUGCUGAAAAUCCCGGACUCCCUGCAUAUGCAUGUGUAUCGCGCAUGAAUAGAUGGUACGAAAGAAGUUUCGGAAACAUGGUUUAUCGAAGUGUAAACCAAGGUAAAAAAUUCUAAUUGACCAAUCCGUUUCAAGUAUUUAUAGAUAUGCAAAUCAUAUAAGAAUUAUCAAAUAAUAUACUUCACAUGAUGAUUAAAUGUCAGGUUAACAUGGUAAAUCCUAUGAAGAAUAUUCAUAUUUCUCUGCCUAAAAACGUCUGAGCAAUUUAAAAAUAACAUUUAAUGUCUCUAUUCUCUAUUCAAUAACCACUUUAAUUGGCAAAUUUUAUCAGACAACUUGUGAGGUUUCAAUAUGUUUAUGUGGACUUUAGAUGCCACAGCUUAUUAAUUGGGAAUUUAAUGAGUUUAGAUCAUCCUUCCAGUUUAUAUACAUCAUUGAACAUUUUAGAAUUUAGUGUGGAAUGUAUUUCAUGGGGUCUUUUGUUGAUAAUUUUAUUGUUCUUGUUAAGUGACUGUGCUAUGGACAUCUAUCCCACAUCUGACCCUCUUAUGGAAUUAUACCCCAUACCUAUAUCAAAUGUUAAUGUUAACAUACAUUGUAUAUGUUUACAUACUUUGUAAAUGUUAAGAUUUCCAUAAAGUUUUAUGUAUAUUUUAUCACUUGUCCUGUGUUUUCAUAAAUAUACAUCUCAUGUUUUUCUUCUCCAAGCUGAGAUUUUGUAGGUAAAACCUGUAAAUAAAUGUGUUAACAGAUUGUUGUUUAAAUCAAUAUUUAUACCAAUCUCUCUGUCUCUCUUUGUCUAUAUCUCUCUCAUCCAUAGUGAAAUAAAAUCAAUUAAAUGAUGAUGAAAGAUUCAAAUACUAUAUUCUUGUCAUGGAUACUUACCAUUGAUCUUUAAGCAAACAACAAUCAAGUAGCCCAUCAAUAAUUAUUCAUUUGGAUGAGAUUUAAAUUUGUUAUGAUUUCUGUUCUGUUUCAUAUAUAUAAGUUUUAUUAUUAAAAGGUUUAUUUUGUAUGAGCAUUAGAGGCUGUACUCGCCUGUUCUGUGUCAUGACAAUUAUAAAAGAAAGAAAAAUGCAUUAAAUUAUAAGAGGAUA